AUUGAACGCUAGCGGGAUGCCUUACACAUGCAAGUCGAACGAGUGGCGAACGGGUGAGUAAUGUAUCGGAACGUGCCCAGUAGCGGGGGAUAACUACGCGAAAGGGAGCUAAUACCGCAUACUAUUGGAGCGGCCGAUCUCGGAUUAGCUAGUUGGUGGGGUACCGGAUCACCAAGGCGACGAUCCGUAGCUGGUUUGAGAGGACGACCAGCCACACUGGAACUGCACCACGGCCCAGACUCCGACGGGAGGCAGCAUAGGGGAAUAUUGGACAAUGGGGGAAACCCUGAUGCAGCCAGCCCGCGUGGGGGAAGAAGGCCUUAGGGUUGUAAAGCACUUUUGGCAGGAAAGCGGUACCUGCAGAAGAAGCACCGGCUAACUACGUGCCAGCAGCCGCGGUAAUGC
rnacentral:rRNA from 1 species